UACGUAGGGUGCGAGCGUUAAUCGGAAUUACUGGGCGUAAAGCGUGCGCAGGCGGUGCACCAAGCUCGAUGUGAAAGCCCCGGGCUUAACCUGGGAAUUGCAUUGAGGACUGGUGUGCUCGAGUGCGGCAGAGGGGGGUGGAAUUCCACGUGUAGCAGUGAAAUGCGUAGAUAUGCGGAGGAACACCGAUGGCGAAGGCAAUCCCCUGGGCCUGUACUGACGCUCAUGCACGAAAGCGUGGGGAGCAAACAGG
rnacentral:rRNA from 1 species